rnacentral:rRNA from 1 species
AGAUUGAACGCUGGCGGCAUGCUUUACACGUGCAAGUCGAACGGCAGCACGGGGGCAACCCUGGCGGCGAGCGGCGGACGGGUGAGUAAGGCAUCGGAAUCUGCCCUGAUGUGGGGGAUAACGUAGGGAAACUUACGCUAAUACCGCAUACGACCGAGAGGUGAAAGCGGGGGAUCGUAAGACCCCGCGCUGGUGGAUGAGCCUACGUCCGAUUAGUUAGUUGGUGGGGUAAAGGCCUACCAAGGCUACGAUCGGUAGCUGGUCUGAGAGGACGACCAGCCACACUGGGACUGAGACACGGCCCAGACUCCUACGGGCGGCAGC